rnacentral:rRNA from 1 species
UACAGAGGUGGCAAGCGUUGUUCGGAAUUACUGGGCGUAAAGGGCGCGUAGGCGGCCUUCUAAGUCAGACGUGAAAUCCCCCGGCUUAACCUGGGAACUGCGUCUGAUACUGGAGGGCUUGAGUGCGGGAGAGGGAUGUGGAAUUCCAGGUGUAGCGGUGAAAUGCGUAGAUAUCUGGAGGAAUACCGGUGGCGAAGGCGGCAUCCUGGACCAUUACUGACGCUGAGGCGCGAAAGCUAGGGGAGCAAACGGG